rnacentral:rRNA from 1 species
UACAGAGGUCCCAAGCGUUGUUCGGAUUCAUUGGGCGUAAAGGGCGAGUAGGCGGCCUUCUAAGUCAGACGUGAAAUCCCCCGGCUUAACCUGGGAACUGCGUCUGAUACUGGGAGGCUUGAGUAUGGGAGAGGGAUGUAGAAUUCCAGGUGUAGCGGUGAAAUGCGUAGAUAUCUGGAGGAAUACCGGUGGCGAAGGCGGCAUCCUGGACCAUUACUGACGCUGAGGCGCGAAAGCUAGGGGAGCAAACGGG